UUCACUUUCUACUUCAACCCUAGCUCUUUUUUUUACCGCUAUCCGCCGCUCUAUCUCCUCCGUCAUGUGAAAUCGGACGUUCUAUCUCCCCAGUCUCUGAAAAUUGUUCCGUUCGCUGCUCUAUCACCUCUGUUAUGUGAAAUCAAACGUUCUAUCUCCUCUAAUCUGUGAAAAUUGUGCCAUUCGCCUCUCUAUCUCUUCCGUUAUGCGAAAUCGAACGUUCUAUCUCCUCCAAUCUGUGAAAAUUGAAUCGUUUGCCGCUCUAUCUCCUCCGUUAUAUGAAAUCGAACGUUCUAUCUCCUCCAGUCUGUGAAAAUUGAUUCAUUUGCCGCUCUAUCUCCUCCGUUAUAUGAAAUUGAACGUUCUAUCUCCAUCAAUCUGUGAAAAUUGUUCCAUUCUAUCUCUUAUGCAAGCCACAAGUGACAGCCUUCAACUGCGAGGAAGGAGAGAGAGGGUCGUUUUUUCCCCUACUGAUUUCGUUCCGUCGCGCGAUCGCUUGCCUAGGAUUGAUGUUUUUGCUCCUCUUGGAUUUCCUGAUCACCCACAUAAAGGAUUUGAGACUGUCACCUACAUGCUGCAGCGAAGAAUGAAUGAGGAGAAAAUGACAGCUGCUUGAUCAAACAGGGAUGGUCAAUUCCUUGAGUUCUUUUGAUUUUGGUGCUCCAGAUUAGACUCCGGAUUUUGAGGGGUUCUUUGCAAAAGCUGCUAGAAUAGGUUGAGAUGCCUUCGCAAGUUUUAUGCUGAACAAGUCUGUCCCUUUUCUCUCAGACUCUUUGAAUACGAAAUGAACUCCGCCAAGAACUGUGGCGCGAAAUGCAUCAAGAACUACGCGACCAAAAAUGGGAGAUGGAAGAAACAAUGAAGUAGUUUAUGAUGUCCAAGCAAGCCAACAAUCAAGUCACAAUCCUGAUUAUGAUGAUGAGUUCAUAUAUCUCAUGAACUCAUUUUGAAAACUCAGACACUUUAUGUUGGCUUCGUAUGUUGGAUUGUAUAUUUUGAUUAAUAAUUUUGAGGUUUAUCAAUGAUGAUUUUCAUUUUGGUCAUUA